GUCCCUUUAGCGCAACGGAUAGCGUGUUGGACUUCUAAUCCAAAGGUAGUGGGCUCGAAUCUCACAUGGGAUG